UACGUAGGGGGCGAGCGUUGUCCGGAAUUACUGGGCGUAAAGCGCACGCAGGCGGUUUGCCAAGUUCGAUGCGACAGUCACCGGCUUAACCGGUGAAGGACAUUGAAAACUGGUAGACUUGAGAGCGAGAGAGGGAGACGGAACUCCGGGAGGAGCAGUGAAAUGCGUUGAGAUCCGGAAGAACACCAAGGCGAAGGCAGUCUCCUGGCUCGCCUCUGACGCUCAGGUGCGAAAGCCAGGGGAGC
rnacentral:rRNA from 1 species